rnacentral:sRNA from 1 species
UAGAAUGGUCUACCUUCGGAAUACCCCGC